UACGUAGGGUGCAAGCGUUGUCCGGAAUUAUUGGGCGUAAAGGGCUUGUAGGCGGUUUGUCGCGUCUGCUGUGAAAUUUCGGGGCUCAACCCCGAACUUGCAGUGGGUACAGGCAGACUAGAGUGUGGUAGGGGAGACUGGAAUUCCUGGUGUAGCGGUGAAAUGCGCAGAUAUCAGGAGGAACACCGAUGGCGAAGGCAGGUCUCUGGGCCACUACUGACGCUGAGAAGCGAAAGCAUGGGGAGCGAACAGG
rnacentral:rRNA from 1 species